AGAGAUGUGGUGUUCAGGAUGGAGAGAUGUGGUGUUCAGGGUGGGGAGAUGUGGUGUUCAGGAUGAGAGAUGUGGUGUUCAGGAUGAUCAGAUGUGGUGUUCAGGGUGGAGAGAUGUGGAGUUCAGGAUGGAGAGAUGUGGUGUUCAGGAUGGAGAGAUGUGGUGUUUUUAGUGAAUGGUGGUGUUUGCUGGUGCAUGUACAAGAAUUGUGGUGUUUAUUUAUUUGUUUGGUUUUUAAGCGAAUGUUGUUGUUGGUACAUUUUGGAGAAUGUUUUUAGAGAAAGUCGGUGUUUGUUGGUACAUUUUGGAGAUUUUUUUAGAGAAUGCUGGUGGGUAUUUGGGUUUUAGAGAGCAGAAAACAGGAGGUCUUUGUAGAAAGAGCAAGAAUGGAGGCAAGGCCACCUCUGAGCAGUGUGUGUGUGUGUGUGUGUGUGUGUGUGUGUGUGUGAGGGUAAAAGUCGCUUUGAGCAGGAGAUUAUUGGUGCGCCACAAUUUACAAGAGAUGUGCCGUCAUUAGUUGUGUAGAACCAAACCACUGGGUAAAUCUGCCAUGAAAUACAAGACUGGAGCUGUAAAACCAGAGCAUGUGCAUCAAACUCGAACCAGAUGAGGAACACUGAAGGACACUGUGUGUGUAUGUGUGUGUGUGUGUGUGUGUCUGUCUGUCUGUGAAAGUGAAAAGCAAGAACAAGAAUGAGAGAGGGUUGCGUGUAAUUACAGCAUAAGUGUAUGUGUAUAAGUGUGUGUGUGUGUGUGUGUGUAUGUGUAUGUGUGUGUGUGUUACACUCUAUAAAAUAAUGGCUCUCAGAAGCACCCACAGGCCCACACGGAAACACUCGCCAAAAACAGCAGAAACAACAUAGUCUCUGGCUGAAGGCCACUGGUCCUGUGGGAUUAUGGGAUUGUGGAGGACACCCAUCAAACUGCCCCACCACACACACACACACACACACACACACACACACACCCCGUCAUGCAUACUCAUGUAUAACUCCUUUCAUACCACAGGAACUUUUUCAGGAUCUCAUGAACUUUUCCACCAGUUUUUGUUUCCUGUUCAGACACUGAUUUUAUUUGUAUUUUUUAAAUUUUAUUUCUGGUACUUUUCAUCCCUUGUGGGCGGAGCUUACAUCACUGAACAUCACUGAUAGGUCCAAAUCCAACUUCAGAGAACAAUUCUAAGAAGCCAACAGUGCAAAACAGCAUAUUCAUAAAAAUGUUGCUUUAUUUGUUUUUGAUUUUUCAAUAUAUACUGUGGGUUCUUCAGGAUAUUGUUGGGUUCCUGUGCUUGUUCUCAGUUUCUCUGUAGGUAAGUUGGUUCUCCAUUGUAUUGUUGGGUUCUACACAUAUAUCAUUGGGUUCUCCAGUACAUCACUGGGUUCUCAAGCAUGCUGUGUGGUUGUCCAGUAUAUCAAUGGUUUCCCAAAUGUGUUAUUUGAGUUGCCUAGUAUAUAAUUGGAAUCUCCUGUAUGUCACUGGGUUCUCCCAUAAAUCAUUGUAAUUGACAGAAUAUCACUGGUUCUCCAAAAUAUCACUGGCUUCCUAAUGACAUAAUUGAGUCAUUGGGUUUUCCAGUAUGGCACUGGGUUUCACAGUAUAGCAUUUGGGUUCUUCUGCAUUACCUUACAUUCCACAGUUAUCAGUUAUCUAGUUUGUUACUCGGUUCUCCAGUACAUCAUCCAUUACAUAUCAUUGGGUUGUCCUGAAAUGCUUUUGGUUCCUCACCAUUGGAUUUCUAUACAUAUUAUUGGGUUCUCCAGUAUACCAUUGGGUUUCUAUACAUAUUAUUGGGUUCUCCAGAGUACAAUUGCGUUUCUAUACAUAUUAUUGGGUUCUCCAGAAUACCAUUGGGUUUCUAUACAUAUUAUUGUGUUCUCCAGUAUAUCACUGGGUUUCUAUACAUAUUAUUGGGUUCUCCAGUAUAUCAUUGGGUUUCAAUACAUAUUAUUGGGUUCUCCAGAAUAUCAUUGGGUUUCUAUACAUAUUAAUGGGUUCUCCAGAAUAUCAUUGGGUUUCUAUACAUAUUAUUGGGUUCUCCAGAAUAUCAUUGUGUUUCUAUACAUAUUAUUGGGUUCUCCAGUAUACCAUUGGGUUUCUGAGCAUAUUAUUAGUUUCUCCAGUAUAACACUGGCUUUCCCAGUUCUCUUGCAUUACGAUGCAUUCUCCAGUUUUCCGGUAUGUUACUCGGUUCUCCAGUAAAUGUUUGGUUUCUGCAUUAUAUUAUUGAGUUCUCUGGCAUGUCCCUGAAGUUCUGUUGUGGUUCUGGUGUCUUGUUUCUGCUCCUCGGAAAAGGACAAGUGUGUUUUCUCUCCCUCUCAGCGAGACCACUUAUUUCCAGCCGGUGGUUCUUGUGUAACCUGUCAUUUGAUCGUUUUCAGGGCCUUGAGAGGUUUAAGAUCUUGUGCAGGACUAGCUGUGUUCUCGCUCUCUCUCUCUCUCUCUCUCUCUCUCUUUCUGUCUCUCUCUCUCUCUCUCUCUCUCUC
ensembl:lncRNA